UAACGAAUCUUCCGCAAUGCACGAAAGUGUGACGGGGCAAUGCCGCGUGUGGGAUGAAGCCCUUCGGGGUGUAAACCACUGUCAGGGUUUACCAACAACAUGAGGAGACCCAAAGGAAGAGCCGGCUAACUCUGUGCCAGCAGCCGCGGUAAUACAGAGGGCUCGAGCGUUAAUCGGAAUCACUGGGCUUAAAGCGUGCGUAGGCGGAUUUGAAGGCGCUUUGUGAAAUCCCUCGGCUCAACCGAGGAACUGCUUGGCGAACCACAAAUCUUGAGGCUGGUAGAGGUGGUCGGAACGAUAGGUGGAGCGGUGAAAUGCGUAGAUAUCUAUCGGAACACCGAAGGUGAAGACAGGCCACUGGGCCAGUCCUGACGCUGAGGCACGAAAGCGUGGGUAGCAAACGGGAUUAGAUACCCGUGUAGUCC
rnacentral:rRNA from 1 species